CGGGACGGAAGAGAGUCCUCCUAACGGCUGGAAAUGGUAACGGUCAACUGUAAUUUGAUUUCUUCUAAGAUGAUGACUCCUAACUGCUCCUCCAUGUGCGAAGGUGAAGACGUCAGGCCUGCAGGUGCAGCUUUAUUCGCCUCUUCUCCUUAAUUUACUGCGGAGGUUACGAGCGGGCCACCCCGGGCUGCCGUUUCCACACCAGGAAUGCUUUGAAGUAGCAGAGCCGGACGGCCGGAGAAGAGGAUCCGAGCGGAGCCGGGGCGUCCAGGCUCCGCGCCGCUCCACCUCAGCUCCAGCUCCUCGCUCCUCGCCGGCGGGGCUCCCUGGCUCCCGUCGCCGGC